rnacentral:rRNA from 1 species
GACGAACGCUGGCGGCGUGCCUAAUACAUGCAAGUCGAGCGCAGGAAACUGACGGAACUCUUCGGAGGGAAGGCAGCGGAAUGAGCGGCGGACGGGUGAGUAACACGUAAGGAACCUGCCUCAAGGAUUGGGAUAACUCCGAGAAAUCGGAGCUAAUACCGGAUAGUUCAUCGGACCGCAUGGUCCGUUGAUGAAAGGCGCUCCGGCGUCACCUUGAGAUGGCCUUGCGGUGGUUUAGCGAGUUGGUGGGGUAACGGCCCACCAAGGCGACGAUGCAUAGCCGACCUGAGAGGGUGAUCGGCCACACUGGGACUGAGACACGGCCCAGACUCCUACGGGAGGCAGCAGUAGGGAAUCUUCCACAAUGGACGAAAGUCUGAUGGAGCAACGCCGCGUGAGUGAUGAAGGUUUUCGGAUCGUAAAACUCUGUUGUAAGGGAAGAACACGUACGAGAGGGAAUGCUCGUACCUUGUCGGUACCUUACGAGAAAGCCACGGCUAACUACGUGCCAGCAGCCGCGGUAAAAC